rfam:Oryza punctata chromosome 1, whole genome shotgun sequence.
ACUACCUCCAUCCUAAAAUAUAUCCUACGUUUGACCAUCCGUUUCAUUUGAAAAUUUUUUAUGAUUAGUAUUUUUGUUAUUAUUAAAUGAUAAAACUUGAAUAGUACUUUAUGUGUGAUUUUUUUUUUAUUUUUCAUAAUUUUUUCAAAUAAGACAUACGGUCAAUGUUGGACACGUAUAUCUAUGACUGCGCUUAUU